rnacentral:rRNA from 1 species
CGGAGAAAUUCCAAUCGAACCUGGAGAUAGCUGGUUCUCUCCGAAAUAGCUUUAGGGCUAGCCUCAAGUGAUGAUUAUUGGAGGUAGAGCACUGUUUGGACGAGGGGCCCCUCUCGGGUUACCGAAUUCAGACAAACUCCGAAUGCCAAUUAAUUUAACUUGGGAGUCAGAACAUGGGUGAUAAGGUCCGUGUUCGAAAGGGAAACAGCCCAGACCACCAGCUAAGGUCCCAAAAUAUAUGUUAAGUGGAAAAGGAUGUGGCGUUGCCCAGACAACUAGGAUGUUGGCUUAGAAGCAGCCAUCAUUUAAAGAGUGCGUAAUAGCUCACUAGUCGAGUGACACUGCGCCGAAAAUGUACCGGGGCUAAACAUAUUACCGAAGCUGUGGAUUGUCCUUUGGACAAUGGUAGGAGAGCGUUCUAAGGGCGUUGAAGCAUGAUCGUAAGGACAUGUGGAGCGCUUAGAAGUGAGAAUGCCGGUGUGAGUAGCGAAAGACGGGUGAGAAUCCCGUCCACCGAUUGACUAAGGUUUCCAGAGGAAGGCUCGUCCGCUCUGGGUUAGUCGGGUCCUAAGCUGAGGCCGACAGGCGUAGGCGAUGGAUAACAGGUUGAUAUUCCUGUACCACCUAUAAUCGUUUUAAUCGAUGGGGGGACGCAGUAGGAUAGGCGAAGCGUGCGAUUGGAUUGCACGUCUAAGCAGUAAGGCUGAGUAUUAGGCAAAUCCGGUACUCGUUAAGGCUGA